rnacentral:lncRNA from 1 species
CCGUAUUUUUCCUCUCCCUGCAAAGAGAAAUCAAUCAGUGUAUCGUCGUCUCCGGCCGUGGGAACAGGAGUCACAGGACACGGGAGCCAAGUAGCCAACGGCGGCCGCCUUCCUCUGGGCGUCCGGCCGGAGACGCUCCGCCGCUGCAUCCAUCGACGAAAGCGUGUGAGUUCAUGCAUCUCUUCCAUCGAUCGCUCCCUUUCAAUCUUGGAACCACGUACGUAAGUGCUGUUUCUGAUUUUCUCUGUAGAUCCGCGUGCUACGUUAUCUUGCUUGUCUUUGUCUAUCUGGUUGAUGCUAAACUGUUUCAAUUUAGAUCCAUACUGUUUUUUUUUUUUAAGAUAGAUCCAUACUGAUUAACUGUGUCUGCGAGAAUGCCAAGUUAACCAAAUACUUUAGUGCAAGAAUUCUAUUCCGUCCUUUCCAAAUUAUAAGUCGAUUCAACUUUUUUGUACAUAGAUUUGACUUAGACUUAGCAAAAUUGAUGUACCAAAAAAUUUAAAUUAACUUAUAAUUUGGAAGUGGAGGGAGUAAUUAGCAAAUCUCUGAUUACCUAGGCCUUGUUUAGUUCGCGAAAUAAAAAGUUUUCGACUACUAUAGCACUUUCGUUUGUUUGUAGUAAAUAUUAUCCAAUUAUGGUGAUUUACAGACAAACUGUGUAAAUAGUUUUUGUUUUCGUCUAUAUUUAAUGUUUCAUGCAUGUGCCGCAAGAUUUGAUGUGACGGGAAAUCUUGAAAACUUUUUGGUUUUUGGGGUGAACUAAACAAGGCCCUAGCUGUAGAACCCAUAAUUAACCACCAACAAUUUGUGCCUAAUCAUUAGGUUUUGGGGUACUUUUUUCUUGCUUUUCUUUUGGAAGUUGGAAAUAAAGGCUGACCGAAUCUUAUGCAUCAUACGUAUCUGUGAAUCUUAUGCAUCAUACAUCUUUGUGAGUUCAUUGAAUUGUUACGGAAGUUGUUCUACAAUGCACUUAAUAAUUAAUCAUUCGUUCAUAUAUGUACUGCUUUGUGUAAAUAGCAAAAUGUGGACUGGAGACUAAUCAGCUGUAUUUCAAAGUAAUGAAUUUAGAUUGGUUUGGUGCCCUGUUAUAUAUGUUCAGUCCCUCCAACAUUUUUUUUAUACCUGCCACUUGUUUUUUUUCAAAAUCUAAUAAUUAGGUUAUGCAUGAGGAGUGAGUUAUUCCACUAUAAAUUCAUAGGAUGAUGUCAUUAUGCACCACCUCAUAUAACAACACAGCCUAAAUCUCUCUUAUGUAUCGUAGGCACAUGUCUAGCAUGGUGCAACCAGACUUUCCCAGGCUCAUACCAUUUGGUGCCCGAAGAGACUAUGUCACAUCACAUGGGCCAGAAAUGUUGAGAAUUAUUUAGCGCAGAAUAAUCUCAGAGACACAAUUGUCUCAGGCUCCA